rnacentral:tRNA from 1 species
GAGCCCGUGGUUCAGUGGUAGAACGCUUCAUUCACAUUGAAGAGGUCGAUGGUUCAAAUCCAUCCGGGCUCA